AUCCUGACACAGGGAGGUAGUGACAAGAAAUAACAAUACGGGGCUUAAUGUCUUGUAAUUGGAAUGAUGGGAAUUUAAACCUCUUCCAGAGUAUCAAUUGGAGGGCAAGUCUGGUGCCAGCAGCCGCGGUAAUUCCAGCUCCAAUAGCGUAUAUUAAAAUUGUUGCAGUUAAAAAGCUCGUAGUUGAAUUUCUGCUGCUUUGUUUUAKCUCUUUGAUGGGCUUUUGCACUGCGGCUUUUUUCGGUCUUCGCUUCUGCGUUGUCCGGAUGUUUACUUUGAGAAAAUUAGAGUGCUCAAAGCAGGCUUUUGCCUUGAAUAGUUUAGCAUGGAAUAAUAAAGUAGGACUUUGGUUCUAUUUUGUWGGUUUUAAGUACCAAAG
rnacentral:rRNA from 1 species